rnacentral:rRNA from 1 species
GAUGAACGCUGGCGGCGUGCCUAAUACAUGCAAGUCGAGCGAACGGACGAGAAGCUUGCUUCUCUGAUGUUAGCGGCGGACGGGUGAGUAACACGUGGAUAACCUACCUAUAAGACUGGGAUAACUUCGGGAAACCGGAGCUAAUACCGGAUAAUAUUUUGAACCGCAUGGUUCAAAAGUGAAAGACGGUCUUGCUGUCACUUAUAGAUGGAUCCGCGCUGCAUUAGCUAGUUGGUAAGGUAACGGCUUACCAAGGCAACGAUGCAUAGCCGACCUGAGAGGGUGAUCGGCCACACUGGAACUGAGACACGGUCCAGACUCCUACGGGAGGCAGCAGUAGGGAAUCUUCCGCAAUGGGCGAAAGCCUGACGGAGCAACGCCGCGUGAGUGAUGAAGGUCUUCGGAUCGUAAACUCUGUUAUUAGGGAAGAACAUAUGUGUAAGUAACUGUGCACAUCUUGACGGUACCUAAUCAGAAAGCCACGGCUAACUACGUGCCAGCAGCCGCGGUAAUACGUAGGUGGGCAGCGUUAUCCGGAAUUAUUGGGCGUAAAGCGCGCGUAGGCGGUUUUUUAGUCUGAUGUGAAAGCCCACGGCUCAACCGUGGAGGGUCAUUGGAAACUGGAAAACUUGAGUGCAGAAGAGGAAAGUGGAAUUCCAUGUGUAGCGGUGAAAUGCGCAGAGAUAUGGAGGAACACCAGUGGCGAAGGCGACUUUCUGGUCUGUAACUGACGCUGAUGUGCGAAAGCGUGGGGAUCAAACAGGAUUAGAUACCCUGGUAGUCCACGCCGUAAACGAUGAGUGCUAAGUGUUAGGGGGUUUCCGCCCCUUAGUGCUGCAGCUAACGCAUUAAGCACUCCGCCUGGGGAGUACGACCGCAAGGUUGAAACUCAAAGGAAUUGACGGGGACCCGCACAAGCGGUGGAGCAUGUGGUUUAAUUCGAAGCAACGCGAAGAACCUUACCAAAUCUUGACAUCCUUUGACAACUCUAGAGAUAGAGCCUUCCCCUUCGGGGGACAAAGUGACAGGUGGUGCAUGGUUGUCGUCAGCUCGUGUCGUGAGAUGUUGGGUUAAGUCCCGCAACGAGCGCAACCCUUAAGCUUAGUUGCCAUCAUUAAGUUGGGCACUCUAAGUUGACUGCCGGUGACAAACCGGAGGAAGGUGGGGAUGACGUCAAAUCAUCAUGCCCCUUAUGAUUUGGGCUACACACGUGCUACAAUGGACAAUACAAAGGGCAGCGAAACCGCGAGGUCAAGCAAAUCCCAUAAAGUUGUUCUCAGUUCGGAUUGUAGUCUGCAACUCGACUACAUGAAGCUGGAAUCGCUAGUAAUCGUAGAUCAGCAUGCUACGGUGAAUACGUUCCCGGGUCU